CCUACUGGAGGCAGCAGUGGGGGAUAUUGCACAAUGGGGGAAACCCUGAUGCAGCGACGCCGCGUGAGUGAUGAAGUAUCUCGGUAUGUUAAGCUCCAUUAGCAGGGAAGAAACUGACAGUACGUGUCCAAGUAGCCCUGUCUAAUUACGUGCCAGCAGCCGCGGUAACACGUCGGGGGCAAGCGUUAUCCGGAUUUACUGGGUGUAAAGGGAGCGUAGACGGUUUUGUAUGCCUGGAGUGAAAGCGCGGGGCCCAACCCCGGGACUGCUUUGGAAACUGUGUAACUGGAGUACAGGAGAGGCAGGCGGAAUUCCUGGUGUAGCGGUGAAAUGCGUAGAUAUCAGGAGGAACACCGACGGCGAAGGCGGCCUGCUGGACUGAAACUGACGUUGAGGCUCGAAAGCGUGGGGAGCAAACAGGAUUAGAUACCCUGGUAGUC
rnacentral:rRNA from 1 species